CUGAAAUUUAUUUUUCUGGGUUUUCUUGCUCAUUAACGUUUUCAACAUGUAGCCUGUACGACCAAUAGCCCUAGAUCUGCCCUUCGACUUCAUAAGCGAGCAAAAUAGGAAAAAAAAACUUUACUCUUUCUCGAUUUUUUCGCAAUGAAAAGUUUAAUCUUCUUUAAAUUUGUUGUCUUUGCACCCGACGGUUUAUUUGGGAACUAAAGUUUUGACUUUUCUGCUAAAAUUUGAUAUUUUUAUUUGGAAAACUGUGGUUGUAUGCUGGAUUUUCUUUAGUGUUCUUCGAUCGUAGCUUUAUUGUAUAUGCAUCAUAUUCAUUUGGACUUAGAUGCAUGGUUUCUUUUAGGGUUUUUUUUUUUUUUUUUUUGAUAAAAAAAUUUGGAAUACUAGUCUAUAUAUUGAUCUCAUUUGUGUCAUUCAUUCACUAAACGCCUUACAUCUUAUGUAUAAGGUCAAGAAUGGGUAAUUUCUGUUGCGUCGUACGUGUUAAGGAAUCGACAGUAGCAUUAAAAGAGAUAUGUGGGAAGUUCGAUAUGAAGCUCGACUCCGGAUGUCACUGCGUCCCGUGGUGUUUUGGUCAUCUCGUUGCUGGCCACAUGUCAUAGAAGAUCCAGCAACUCGAUAUCCGUUGUGAUACCAAAACUCAGGAUAAUGUUUCUGUUCGGGUUGUGGCAUCCAUGUACUACCGUGUUGCCGGUACCCAGACAGCAGCAUAUGAUGCCUUUUAUCGUUUCACUGAUCCUGUUGCUCAAAUUCAGGCUGCUUCGUUCAACCAAGUUAAAACAAGCCUUUUUGAGCAUACUCUCGAUGAGCUUCUUAACACAAAAGAAAGCAUUGCAAAUGCUAUAACCGAUAAGCUCAAAGCGGAGCUUUUGCCAUACGGUUACGAGAUCGUCAAAACAUUUCUCGUCGACAUCGUUCAGACUUCAAGUCCCUAGCCACUUUUGAAGUAGAACUUUAUUAUUCGGCGUUUUUUCUUCUCCUAACACUGCAAUGGCUUAUCUACUCACUAAUUCUCACACUGUCUCUCGUCCUCCCACCGGCACUCGUCCUCCCGUUGGCACUCGUCCUCCCACCGGCACUCGUCCUCCCGUUGGCACUCGUCCUCCCACCGGCACUCGUGCUCCCACCGGCACUCGCCCUCCCAUCGGCACUCGUCCUCCUACCGGCACUCGCCCUCCCAUUGGCACUAGUCCUCCCAUUGGCACUUGUCCUCCCAUUGGCACUCGUCCUCCCAUUGGCUCUGUCCCUUCCUCCGGCGGCUUGCUCCCAUCUCCGCCCACUGUUCUCCCGCCGCCGUUUUGUUCAUGUUUUAGUUGGAAAAUAAAUCGAAAAUAAUGAAAGUAUACUAUUAAAUUUUCCUAUUUUUUGGUUCCAGUUAGUUGAAUCAUACCGUUUACAUUUUA